rnacentral:sRNA from 1 species
CCUUCCAGCCAGGCGUCCAUCUUAAGAGACGCUGGUCUCCUCCGGCGUGAAGAUUGGAUUUGGGUUGGGACUGGGAAGUCUCGUUACUUGGAUUUUUGUUGCUUUGGGAAAGGAUUGAACUAUACCUGCACUUGUGUCAUAAGAUCCUGAUUCUGCUAGUGAUUCUUCUGUGUGUCAUUUUAAUGUUCAUUAUAUGCAAAUUCUGGAAAGAAAGGUGGCUGGUAGCUGGGCUGUCAAUGCAGGUAAGCAUCAUCCUAUAGCUCCAGCACUAGCUGUCUAGAUGUAUCCAGCCUGACUUUUGGCUUUCUCACAGAUCUUUGCUCCCUACGUGCACCUGGUCAGCAUAACUGUGAUGGUUAUCCUUUUCUGGCCUGUGGCCUUCUACGUGGCACGUUUGGAAAGAGAAGGUAUGUCACAUAGGGCAGAACCCUGCCUAUUUCUUCAGCUCUGGCUUUAGCUUGCAUACUCCACUCAGGAAAACAGGAGCUUGGGAACUAGCCACCCCUAUGCCUCGUUGAAAUUCAUUUAGCUUGUUACUCAGGCAUGCUCCUGUGCUUUCACUCACUACCCUGUCAUGGUGGCCAAUGGCCUGUCAUAGUAUUUCUGUGGCCAAACAG